rnacentral:rRNA from 1 species
AACGAACGCUUGCGGCAUGCUUAACACAUGCAAGUCGAACGAGACCUUCGGGUCUAGUGGCGCACGGGUGCGUAACGCGUGGGAAUCUGCCCUUUGCUACGGAAUAACUCAGAGAAAUUUGUGCUAAUACCGUAUAAUGUCGAAAGACCAAAGAUUUAUCGGCAAAGGAUGAGCCCGCGUAGGAUUAGCUAGUUGGUGAGGUAAAGGCUCACCGAGGCGACGAUCCUUAGCUGGUCUGAGAGGAUGAUCAGCCACACUGGGACUGAGACACGGCCCAGACUCCUACGGGAGGCAGCAGUGGGGAAUAUUGGACAACGGGCGAAAGCCUGAUCCAGCAAUGCCGCGUGAGUGAUGAAGGCCUUAGGGUUGUAAAGCUCUUUUACCAGGGAUGAUAAUGACAGUACCUGGAGAAUAAGCUCCGGCUAACUCCGUGCCAGCCGCCGCCGUAACAC